rnacentral:rRNA from 1 species
GACGGAAGUUUUCGGAUGGAAGUCUAUUUGACUGAGCGGCGGACGGGUGAGUAACGCGUGGGUAACCUACCCUAUGCAGGGGGAUAACAACUGGAAACGGUUGAUAAUACCGCAUAAGCGCACGAAACCGCAUGGUUUUGUGUGAAAAGCCGAGACGGCAUAGGAUGGACCCGCGUCUGAUUAGGCAGUUGGUGGGGUAACGGCCUACCAAACCGACGAUCAGUAGCCGACCUGAGAGGGUGACCGGCCACAUUGGGACUGAGACACGGCCCAAACUCCUACGGGAGGCAGCAGUGGGGAAUAUUGCACAAUGGGGGAAACCCUGAUGCAGCGACGCCGCGUGAGCGAAGAAGUAUUUCGGUAUGUAAAGCUCUAUCAGCGGGGAAGAAGAAAGACGGUACCUGACUAAGAAGCCCCGGCUAACUACGUGCCAGCAGCCGCGGUAAUACGUAGGGGGCAAGCGUUAUCCGGAUUUACUGGGUGUAAAGGGAGCGCAGGCGGCAUGGCAAGCCAGAAGUGAAAACCCGGGGCUCAACCCCGUGGAUUGCUUUUGGAACUGUUAAGCUAGAGUGCAAGAGGGGCAAGCGGAAUUCCUAGUGUAGCGGUGAAAUGCGUAGAUAUUAGGAGGAACACCGGUGGCGAAGGCGGCUUGCUGGACUGUAACUGACGCUGAGGCUCGAAAGCGUGGGGAGCAAACAGGAUUAGAUACCCUGGUAGUCCACGCCGUAAACGAUG